rnacentral:lncRNA from 10 species
GCCCUUCCAGUUUCCCAUACCUUCGUGUUGAGUUGCUCAGUCUCUGGCUUAGAGGACCAGGAAUGGGAAAUCCCCAGCUGUAGGCUGGAGCGUGCAACACUGCGGCCCACCUCGCUGCGGUUGGUGGUGGCAACAGAGACUGCAGCGUGGCUGGACUGUUGAGCUGCUCAGUGCCUGGCUUGGAGGACCAGGAAUGGGAAAUCGCUGGCAGUACGCUGGAGGCUGGAGCUUGUGACCCCACAGCUCGCCUCCCUCUGGUUGUUGGUGGUGACUGUUGGUGGUGGCCACGGAGACUGCAGCGCGGCUGGAGUGGGAGCAAGAACUGUGCCAGGAAGCU